GAGGAAACCAAUGAGAUCCAGGUGGUGAAUGAGGAGGAGCCUCAGAGGGACAGGCUGGGGCUGCCGCAGGAGCCAGGCCGGGAGCAGGUGGUGGAAGACAGACCUGUAGGUGGAAGAGGCUUCGGGGGAGCCAGAGAACUGGGCCAGACCCCACAGGUGCAGGCUGCCCUGUCAGUGAGCCAGGAAAAUCCAGAGAUGGAGGGCCCUGAGCGAGACCAGCUUGUCAUCCCUGACGGACAGGAGGAGGAGCAGGAAGCUGCCGGUGAAGGGAGAAACCAGCAGAAACUGAGAGGAGAUGACGACUACAACAUGGAUGAAAAUGAAGCAGAAUCUGAGACAGACAAGCAAGCAGCCCUGGCAGGGAAUGACAGAAACAUAGAUGGUAAGAAUGGGGCCUACAUCGGUGACGAGGUCACCUUUCACUUCUCUUUCCU
rnacentral:lncRNA from 1 species